AAUGAACGCUGGCGGCGCGCCUAAUACAUGCAAGUCGAGCGAGAAGACGUAGCAAUACGUUUGUAAAGCGGCGAACGGGUGAGGAAUACAUGGGUAACCUACCCUAGAGUGGGGAAUAACUAGCCGAAAGGUUAGCUAAUACCGCGUACGCUCCUUGGACUUCGGUUCAGGGAGGAAAGCGAUACCGAGGGUAUCGCGCUCUUGGAUGGGCUCAUGUCCUAUCAGCUUGUUGGGAGGUACGCUCA
rnacentral:rRNA from 1 species